rnacentral:rRNA from 1 species
GAUGAACGCUGACAGAAUGCUUAACACAUGCAAGUCGAUGGGGAAGUGGUGCUUGCACCAUGGUAACCAUGGCGGACGGGUGAGUAACACGUAAGGAACUUACCUGCGGGACCGGGAUAACAGCAGGAAACUGCUGACAAGACCGGAUAAGGUCAUUAAGCUGCAUAGCUUAGUGAUGAAAGGAGACGCCUGCGGAGAGCCUUGCGUCCUAUUAACUAGUUGGAGGGGUAACGGCCCACCAAGGCGAAGAUAGGUAGCCGGCCUGAGAGGGUGGACGGCCACGAGGGGACUGAGAUACGGCCCUUACUCCUACGGGAGGCAGCAGUGGGGAAUAUUGGACAAUGGGGGCAACCCUGAUCCAGCAAUUCUGUGUGCACGAAGACGGUUUUCGGAUUGUAAAGUGCUUUCAGCAGGGAAGAAGGAAGUGACGGUACCUGCAGAAGAAGCGACGGCUAAAUACGUG